rnacentral:rRNA from 1 species
CCUACGGGUGGCAGCAGUGGGGAAUAUUACUCAAUGGUCGAAACCCUGAACCAGCAACGCCGCGUGAAGGAUGAAGGUUUUCGGAUUGGUAACUCCUUUUUUUAGAGAAGAAAAUGACGGUAUCCAACCAAUAAUCACCGGCUAACAACAUGACACCAGCCGCGGCAAUACGAAGGGUGCGACCGUUCUUCGGAAUGACUGGGCGUAAAGCGCGAGUAGGCGGGCUAGCAAGGCAGAUGUGAAAUCCUCUGGCUUAACCAUAGAACUGCAUUUGCAACUGGUAUUCUAGAGUAUGGGAGAGGUAGGUGGAAUGCGUGGUGUAGGGGUGAAAUGCGUAGAGAUCAAGAGGAAUACGCAUUGCGAAGGCGACCUGCUAGAUCAAAACUGACGCUGAUGCGCGAAAGCGUGGGGAUCAAACAGGAUUAGAUACCCUAGUAGUC